CUACGGGUGGCUGCAGUGAGGAAUAUUGCACAAUGGGGGGAACCCUGAUGCAGCAACGCCGCGUGGAGGAUGACGCAUUUCGGUGUGUAAACUCCUUUUAUAUGUCAAGAAAAUGACGGUAGCAUAUGAAUAAGCACCGGCUAACUCCGUGCCAGCAGCCGCGGUAAUACGGAGGGUGCAAGCGUUACUCGGAAUCACUGGGCGUAAAGGACGCGUAGGCGGGUUGGAAAGUCAGGUGUGAAAUCCUACAGCUUAACUGUAGAACUGCACUUGAAACUUCUAAUCUAGAGUAUGGGAGGGGGAGAUGGAAUUAGUGGUGUAGGGGUAAAAUCCGUAGAUAUCACUAGGAAUACCUAAAGCGAAGGCGAUCUCCUGGAACAUUACUGACGCUAAGGCGUGAAAGCGUGGGGAGCAAACAGGAUUAGAUACCCCCGUAGUC
rnacentral:rRNA from 1 species